AAUAUUUCAUUGAAAGAUUAAAAGAUGCAUGAAUGUAAGGGCCCAAAGUAAGUCGCCCCUAGUUUAGGUUGAAUAGUACGUUCCUGCACAACGGAGCCCGCGAGGGCUGGUGAGAAGAAGAGAGAUAUACUAAUGAUCAGAAUUGAUAGAAGAGUGACAGAGAUAGCGAGGGCGAGAGAGGAACGUGAGGGCCGAGGCACACCAUCGAGUAUCAACCAGCUGGUUGGCAAGGCAGCCGCGAGCAGUCGCCAGUGAGACGCGGUACCCCGCGAGGGCUUUCGUCGUUUGUUCGUUCGUCUAUACGUGUGUCUAUAUGUCCGUCAUCUCCCUUCCGCUUAAACCUAUCGUGGUCGUGCGUACGUUCAUUCGUUCGUCCGGUCCGUGUGUGGUGCGUCUCCCUUCGCUUGCUUUCAACGACACUUGCCACCGGUCGCGACUAUCGUCUCUGUAUCAAAGUACAUCUCUGUCUUACUCUAUCUCUCUCUCCUCGUUUCUCUUGGCGUGCCCGACUGAAAAGACAAGAUGGCUGCCGACUCAGGAAUGGAGACGUGUCCCUCCCCGGAGAUUGCAGACUCCAGGAAGCGGCCGCUGGAUUGUGACGCGGAAAAUGGCGCGACGAAGAGAUCUCAUUACGGAUCAGGGGGAGAUGGAACAUAUCAUCUCAAAGUAUUGGUCCCUGGAGUGGCUGCUGGAGCAAUCAUUGGAAAAGGAGGAGAUACAAUUGCCCAAUUACAAAAAGAUACAGGAGCUAGGGUCAAAAUGUCUAAAUCCCAUGAUUUUUAUCCAGGAACAACAGAGAGAGUAUGUUUAAUUACGGGCAGUUUAGAAGCUAUAAUGGCAGUUAUGGACUUUAUUAUGGAUAAAAUUCGUGAAAAACCAGACCUUACGUUGAAAACAACAGUAGAUUUUGAAUCAGGAAAAACUACUGCAGAAAGGGAUAAACAGGUAAAAAUUUUAGUGCCUAAUAGCACUGCAGGAAUGAUAAUAGGUAAAGCAGGAAAUUAUAUUAAACAAAUAAAAGAAGAGUGUGGCUCAUAUGUUCAAAUAAGUCAGAAAGCAAAAGAUGUAUCUUUACAAGAAAGAUGUAUAACAGUAAUUGGAGAAAAAGAAAAUAAUCGUAAUGCAUUAAUGAUGAUAUUAGCAAAAGUGGCAGAUGAUCCACAUAGUGGUACAUGUCCAAAUGUUAGUUAUGCAGAUGUUAGUGGUCCUGUAGCUAAUUAUAAUCCUACAGGUAGUCCUUAUGCUCAAGCACCUACAAGUACUCCUACAUACACCUCUACAGCUGGCAUUAAUACAGUGAGUCUCUUGAAUGGUGCUGGAUUAAGUUUGAACUUGAAUUUAGGAGCUGCUAUUACAGCGGGUACAGCACCAGUGACAACGCAAUUAUUGGAACAUAUAAAAUUAAAUUUACGAACGGCAGGUUUUUCCGAACCUGCUGCUAGUGAAAUUUUAUCUGCUAUUGCUACACUUGCUAAAUAUAAUCUUCUUGGAAUGGGAAUUGGAAUGCCUUCUAAUAUGAGUUAUCUUGGAAAUCCUAUGGACAGCACUACAACUGCAAAUGGUUCGAAUAAUAAUGGUGGUGUAUUUGGGCCAAUUGGAACAGUUCCUACUCUUGGAUCUACGUCUCCUACACCACGUAAUACACUUGACAGAUACGAGCCCUUUGAUCCAUUCAGACAAAACAACACAGCUGCCAGUGCUAUUCAUCUAAACAACAAUUCAUUUGGCCUUGGCACUAACCAGUUAUCACUUGUAAGUAAGAGUCCUACACAGGUAGACGCCAACAACAAGGAGACCAAGAAAGUAGACAUAGAAAUUGCAGAGGUUAUAGUGGGAGCUAUUCUGGGACCCGGUGGUCGUGCCCUCAUUGAGAUUCAGCACCUAAGUGGCGCCAACAUACAAAUCUCUAAGAAGGGCAUGUUCGCUCCUGGUACCAGGAACCGCAUAGUGACUAUCACGGGUUAUCCUAAUGCAAUUGGCACUGCUCAAUAUUUAAUUGAGCAAAGGAUCAGUGAAGAGGAAGCAAAACGAGCACGUCAGAAUGCCCUCGCCAAUAUGAUCCAUUGAUUUCAAGUACAGCACUUUUGUUCAUCCCCAUUAUUGAGCUCCGUUAUUCAUCUUUCCACAUCUUGAGAUGAUGUUUACGGUAGCUCUCUCUUCCCUUCUUUAAACUCUCGUCCACUAUCACCUACCACCCGUUGUCAUCUGUCGCUACAUCACUAUAGCGCUUGCAUUAUCACAUCACUAUUCAUGCAUUCAUCAUGGUCAACAUUUAUCUAUCUUUUAAGAUUAUUAUAAUAUAUAAAUAUUAUAUGUUAUAUGAUAACUACUACAAUUGUUCUGUGAUACACCACGUUACGGGGCUUUAUCACAAAUAACACACGUACCACAUCAGAGUCACAUAAUAUAUCUAGUUGUAUGGUAUAAUAGGAUAUUGAAAGAAGCAUGAUAAAAUUAUAAUUAUAUUAGAAACGAAAUGGCACAAUUUGGCCAUAGUUGUUCUUGAAAAAUCGAGACAACAAUAUUAUAUGGGUAAUUGUUUCGUUUCAUAAAAAUGAAUCUAUUUUUUUUUUUUUUUUUUAUAUAUAUAGGAGCAUAAUCUUACUAUUAAUGCGAAAGAUAUUUUUAGUUAGAAGAUCAUACAGAACUCACAAAUUGAAUGACUUUAAUCUGAAAUAUUAAUAUCCUAAUGUAUCGCGCAAGUCAAAUUCUAUUCAUUUUCACAAAAUAAUAUAUUGCAAUUAUUGUAUUGAACUGUUCCUUGAACUACGAAAUGAUUAGGCUGUUUGAGCGAGUUUUUUGCUCAUAGUUAACAUAAUAUUGAGCGAAUUUUCUUCUAAGUACAGAGUAAUACCUUGGCAAAACCAAAGAUCUUACAUUUGUAAAGCAGAAAUAACUUGGCUGGAAGAUAAAUAUACAAAGGGAGAGCUAUUCUAUAUAUAAACAUAUAUUUAUAUAUUUACAAUGCUGGCUGGUCCAGCUAAAUGAUAAACAUAAUACUUUAUUGCCAAGUUUUAUUCUGAAUCCCAAAGUCUUUAUUUCUCAAAAUCUUCAUCCAAUUAUUACAUCGUGUAGUAUUUAGAUUAAUGUACUCAGAAAUAUAUAAACAUCGAGUCUCAUUCUUCUUUAUUCAUAUCUUAGGAACAGAGAAAUCAUUUUAUUAAGAUAUUAGGAUAAGAAUUACUCGAUUUAUCAUUGGAUCAAAACGCGAUCCUUUCGAGUAAUAUUUCAGUAUGGUUGCAAUGUGCUGCACAUUAAAAGUUUUGUCUAAUUAUUUUUAGUUUCAAGGCAUAUCAGUUGAAUACAAUUUUAUAUUUCAUGACACUUCAAACUAAAAGUUGUGACAUGAAAAAUUUUUUUUGUCAUUCCUUUACAUUAUAUAAUUAUUUUUGUUACAUAGAGAUAUUUAUAUUUAUAUACAACCAUUUUCAAUAGUUUAAUUGUGGAAUAUUGUUUGAGAAAAAUAUUCUAUUUUCUUCUUUAGUGUUUUCAUUUCUUUUCUAUGCAACGAGAUAAAUAUCCUGAAAAUGAAGUAAAUUACGAUUUCUGCAUAUAUAUAAUAUUCACUUUUAUAUAAAAAUUUAUAUAAAAGUUUAUUACGGUCAGCAUAUGUCAUACAUCCUUGGGUUCUGUAUGAUACUGCUUUAUGUGGAAUUCUAUUUAAGCCAACCAAAUCUUUGACAGAUUUUUAAUAACUGCACUUUGACGUUGAAUCAAAUUUUUAGAUAGGGAAUGGAUUUUAGCUAGAAACUUCGUUUAUGUUGAUAAUUAUCAAUAUCAUAAGUAACAGAAUAAAUAGCUUAUAUUUCAUUGCUAGAUAAAAAAGAGGAUACAGCAUCUAUUAAUAACAAACGUUUCAAAUCAUUGUUUUUCUUUUUGGGGGGGUAGGUAUUAGGAAAGGGUGAUAUAAGGGAUAGGCGGUAAUCAAUAAUGGGUUUAGUUAAAGUAUCUGAAAACGUUAGCUGUAGCGUCAAAUGAAAUAUAUAAGUGUACAUGAGUACAAUUCAUAGCUGGAGGCGCUGGCUCACCGCUCUUUAAAAAUAACUUGUAUAUUCAUAAAUAUCGCAUAACAUGAGUAAUAAUAUAUUACACACAGAGAGAAAAAGAGUAAAUAUAUAUAUUAUAUAUUAUAUUAUAUAUAUAAUAUAUAUAUGUAUAUAAAAAAGAUGCAUAUAUAUAUACAUGAAAAGUUUGAAUUAGAUUAUUAAUAAAAGAGAAUUCAUAUUAUCUAAAAUAUAAAUGACAUAUAUGUGUAUAUUUAUAUGUAUAUAUAUAUACACAUAUAUAUAUUCUAUAUAUAUAUAUAAAUAUAUAAAUAUAAUAUAUAAAAGAUAUAAUAUAAGUAAUGAAAUGAUAUUAUAAACAUUGUUGACAAAAUAUUUGCGUCCGCGUACGUAAAACAUAAUUUUAUGUUUAUUCAUAAAUUGUAUGUGAACUAUUAUUGAUUAAACUUCACUGUGUUGCCCAAAUACAUUGAAAAAGAAGUCACAGAUAUGAUGAAGAUGCAAACUAUUAUUAUAUUGCUGUAGAUAGAUCUAUUCAAAGAAACUUUAAUAGAACAUGUUACGAACGUCACGUGUACCAUUAAUUUAAUUUAUAAAUCACUUUAUUUUAAUAGCGAUCGUGCUAUUAAUAUUAAUGGCAGCAUAAUAUUUCUUUAUUGCAUCCGCAUAUGCAGUACUUUUCUUCGUUAAUUAAUACGUAUCAUCACAUUAGAUCUAUCAUUGGCGAUUUAUCGAUUUUAUCCUAUCGUCACUUUCUCUCUAUUUCUAUUUUAUAAUUCACAUUUUCUGACUGCCGGUAGGCAGUUGUGUUCCAAUUGACUCAUAUAAGUGAGGAUUUUCAAAAAAAAAAAAAAAAAAAAAAAUGGAUUUUAUAUCUCGUUCAUUUAUAAUACAUCGAUUCGUACAUUUGUCAUUUGUGAUGCUCAUUAAAUAUAUUUGUACUAAGAUACCUAAAUCUAAUAUUGCACUAAACUCGUACAAAUAGGGAAAUUGAAAAUGAAUUUACAUUUGAUUUAAUUAUCAAAAAUUUUGAUAUAUUUUGUGCUUGUUACAAGUAAUUUAUUAUAGCGAAGUGAAGUAAAUUUUUACCUCAUAAAAUAUUUCUCCUAUUAAUUUUUUUCUUUUUUUUUUCUUUCUUUUCUUUUUUUUCUCUCUUUUUUUAAAUUUUUCUCUCUUUUUUUACGAGAAGACAAAUAUUUUUUAUCUUAUGUUCUUAAAAUUAUAACGUUUCUAAUGUUAUCGAUCAGAGAAUAACAAUCAAGACUUUUUUAUUUUAUUUGCUGUAAUCAAAAUCAAAAAAAUCAAAUUAUCUUUUUUCGAUUCAGAGUCUAAAUUCUGUUAAACUUGUAAUAUGCACAUUAAAGUAAAAAAAAAAAAAAAGGAAUAUAUAUAUAUAUGAAAAUAAGAAAAAUGAGAAUAAAUUUAAAUAAAUUUUAUUCAUAAAUCUCUAAUACAAAUAAACAACUUGUAGGUAGCAAGAAAUAAUUAGAUUAGGUUACAGUUUUUCUCAGUAAACACAUUCCUUAGUAGAACAGAUUAUGUAUAAGGCUAGCUGUGAUGGAGUUAUGAGUGAGAGAGAAAGAGAGAAAAGUAGGAUGAAAGAAGGAGAUAUAUAAAUAUUCAUCAGCUACCAGUACGUAAAAAAAUUGCCACAAUAUGUUAAUAGUGUGUAAAAUAUAAAAUUUAUUUGUGCAGGGAAAAUAACUCGGUGAUGUAAAGAUUCAUCAAGGCAAGGAAGAUGGAUGCGUUUUAUUCGCAAUGAUAAAUGACGAUGUCGAUGUUGAAAUGUGCAUUUCUAUCAGAAUCAAAUGUCAUAAUAUCAAUUUUCCAAUGUUAUCACUUGGAACAUUCGAAAAAAAAAAAAAAGAAAAAAACAACUCUCCUUGCAUCAGCGGCAAAAUUUAAAUAACGAAUCAACAAUCGGAAAAUCAAAGUGAAUCCGAGAUGUGCGGAUCGAUAAACGCAACGACAAGCGAAUAUGCAUCACGGCUUGUAAGCCUAAACGUGAGAAAAAAACACUCUUAGUUUUUUUAAUCGAUCAACGUGAAAAUAAUUACAAUUUUUUAUUUAAUAAUUUUUUCUUGUUAUUUAAAGUUUACUUAGAGUAUACCCGAAACCGUGACCUCUUGGGCAUCACUAUGAUUGUUACUGAUGAAGUAUAUAUUAUACUAUAUAUAUAUAUACAUAUAUAAUAUAUAUGUAUAUAUAUAUACAUAUAAUUAGUUCACAGCAUUUGAAUUUACUCUAAAAUAAUUACUUUACACUCUAACCACAUUUAUUUGCAUCCAUAAAUUGUUAUUCUUUCAUCAUCAGAGUUAUUCCAUUCAAUGUUAAAUAAUUAUAAAUAUUAAAAAAAAACAUAAUAUAUUAACUAUUUUCACUCAUGAAAAAGCAUCGUUACCUGUAUGACAAGUGACCAUAAGAGCAUAAUAAACAAUCGCUCAUUAAAUGCAUUUUGUUGUUCUUCAUUUCAUGACCUGGCCACAUGUUCCAUCCAUCUACUCCAUCGAUCCAUCCAUUUGUCCAUUCAAUGUCGCUGUAUGAUCGUCAUACGCAUUCUUUUCUACUCUUUUUUUUUUUCUUUUCUUUCUCUUUCUCUUUCAUUCACCCAAGACGUGAUUAUCCGAGUAUCACGGAAACUUUUUAUUAUAUUAAAGUUAUCUUCUCUUUUUCUCUUUCUCUCUUUAAUCUCCGUUAAUUUCUGACAAUGGCAUCCAAUGAACUCCUGUGCAAUUGUAAUUUUGUCGAAAUUAGGAAGGUUCAAUCAUUUGCGAUCUAUCAACAUAUAUAUAUAUAUAUUCAUAUAUUCUAUUCGCAUUUGACCACGGUCCAAUUCUGUUUGACUUACGAUGAAGCCUUCCAAAUUUUGAUAGAAAGUUCACGAGAGAUGAAACGUCCUUUAUUAAGUGGUAGCAUGCGUACCUGUAAAUACAAUGAUGUACAAUUUACGCGAUCUCUAGGUAAGCUGUUCGACUAGUCUAUAAGUUUUUUUAUAAUGUAUCUACGUACACGAACGGAAACAGGAAAAACAGGAAAACAGAUGCGUUUGUAUUGCGAUGUUAAGUAACGUGUUAAUCUCAAUUCUUUGGUUUAUCUCGUGUUUUCUGCAAAGACGAGUUAAACCGAAGGAAGGAUCGUGCGAGUAUAAUUCCAUAGAUAUUUUCAAAAAAAUAUAUAUACAUAUACAUAUAUAUAUAUAUAUAUAUCGAAUGACAAAAGAGCGCAGAGAUAUUAUUAAAAUCAAAUUAAUAUCACCGUCAUUCUAUUAUACUCGUUUUAACUAUCUGUCGAUUCUAUCGCGAACUUUACUGUUGCUGUUGUUCUUGUUUUAAACGUAUCCUUACGUUCGGAAUAGCAUAUCAUUCUGAGUAUACAGUACCAGAAGAACUGGAAUUAUGGUUCUCGGUGCAUUUCGUCAGCGUACAAAACAGAAAAAGAUGCUGUUCUUACUAGUCAGUAUAGAUAAGGGAAUGUAUUUUUUUACACGAUUGAUUUGUAAUAAAGAUAUUAAAAAUGAAAGAAAACUAAUCCAGUUUAGAUAGAGGAAAUAUGAGAACGCUUGUUAUUUGAAAAAAAAAAAAAAAGAAGAGAGAACAAAGAUGAAUCGAUGAAACUUUUGUAAAGCAGAGAUCAACGAUUUUCCUUUUUUUUCAUUUCUAGUUUAUUUAGCUAAAUUUCUUUCAGUUUUAAAUUUUCGUCUAUUGAUUGGAGCAUCUUGCAAUGGAACAAAAUUUGAAUAUAUAAAACUUCUUCACCAGGUAAGUUGUAUAUUCUAUUUUCUUUCCUUUAUUUUUUUUGUACUCAUCCAUCUUUUAUUUUUGUUUUUUCUUAUCUUAUGAUAUUCUAUUAUAUCUUUCUUAAUAAAUCAAUUAUCAAUUGAUACAGUCAAAACAUAUUUUUUAUUCGAAUAAUAAAUGCACAUUCACAAGUGUAUUUAUAGUCUGUUGACAGCGUUUCUUAGUUUCGCAUCUACAAAUUAAUAUACAUACACUAUGACACAGAAUUUAUUAUUCUUCAUAAGCAAUAAACGUACAUAAUUCAUUUUCACUUACAAAAUAUCUAUAUGCAUAUCAUGCCGGUGAUUCGUUUUUUGUUUAAAUUUUCAUGAAGUAUCGUUUGCAUUCGUUAUUAUUAUACACACAUACUCGCAUUUGCUUCUUCUAUAAAGUUUCUCACGCAUCCUUUUAUAAAUGUGUACGUAGCUCUAUCUAACUAAAUUCUACUUAGGACCAUCGGUAAAAUGAACUUCUAAACAUUAUUGCCUUUAGUUCAUCCCACUAUACAAUGAUUCUAUGUUGCGUUUUUUUUUU